UGCCAGCAGCCGCGGUAACACGGGGGGCGCUAGCGUUGUUCGGAAUUACUGGACGUAAAGAGCAUGUAGGCGGAUGAAUUAGUCAGAGGUGAAAGCCCCGAGCUCAACUUGGGAACUGCCUUUGAUACUGUUUAUCUAGAGUCCGAGAGAGGUUAGUGGAAUUCCCAGUGUAGAGGUGAAAUUCGUAGAUAUUGGGAAGAACACCAGUGGCGAAGGCGGCUAACUGGCUCGGUACUGACGCUGAUGCGCGAAAGCGCGGGGAGCAAACAGGAUUAGAUA
rnacentral:rRNA from 1 species